GGAGUGGAGCCUGCGGCUUAAUUUGACUCAACACGGGGAACCUCACCCGGCCCGGACACCGCGAGGAUUGACAGAUUGAGAGCUCUUUCUCGAUUCGGUGGGUGGUGGUGCAUGGCCGUUCUUAGUUGGUGGAGCGAUUUGUCUGGUUAAUUCCGAUAACGAACGAGACUCUAGCCGGUUAAGUAGCCCGAGCGGUUUUUGAUCUUUGCCGUCCAUCCUCGUCCCGACCUUCCGCGCUUCUUUUUUGCGCCGUCCUUUCCGCGCGGCCGUCGUCCCGUACGCUUUCCGUUUCGGCGGGAGGCCUCGGGCGCCGACGGUUUGCCGGAGGGGCGCUGCGGGAGGAGUACGUGGGUCGACUUCGGGGUGGAAGCAUAACCGAAGGCCGCCGGCUUUUAAGGAAGCUUCUUAGAGGGACGAGCGGCGUUCAGCCGCCCGAGAUUGAGCGAUAACAGGUCUGUGAUGCCCUUAGAUGUCCGGGGCCGCACGCGCGCUACACUGAAGGGUUCAGCGUGCUAGUUUCUCCCGGGCCGUCAGGCUCGGGGAACCCGUUGAAACCCUUUCGUGCUAGGGACAGGGACUUGCAAUUGUGUCCCUCCAACGAGGAAUUCCCAGUAAGCGCGAGUCAUCAGCUCGCGUUGAUUACGUCCCUGCCCUUUGUACACACCGCCCGUCGCUACUACCGAUUGAACGAUUUAGUGAGGUCUUCGGACCGGUGGUCGUUCCGCGAUCGGGUCAGGGAAGGGUCUCGCACCUUUGCCUCCCGCGCGGGGUCGGCCGGCCGGGAAGAUGCCC
rnacentral:rRNA from 1 species